GAAGAUUUGGUGAAAAAAUCAUUUUAAAUUGUCAAUUUAAAGUUUUACUUAGUAAAUUCUUCU
rnacentral:tRNA from 1 species